rnacentral:misc_RNA from 1 species
GAAAUGCAAUAAGUAAUGUGAAUUGCAGAAUUCAGUGAAUCAUCGAAUCUUUGAACGCACAUUGCGCCCGCCAGUAUUCUGGCGGGCAUGCCUGUUCGAGCGUCAUUACAACCCUCAGGCCCCCGGGCCUGGCGUUGGGGAUCGGCGGAAGCCCCCUGCGGGCACAACGCCGUCCCCCAAAUACAGUGGCGGUCCCGCCGCAGCUUCCAUUGCGUAGUAGCUAACACCUCGCAACUGGAGAGCGGCGCGGCCACGCCGUAAAACACCCAACUUCUGAAUGUUGACCUCGAAUCAGGUAGGAAUACCCGCUGAACUUAAGC